rnacentral:rRNA from 1 species
AUUGAACGCUGGCGGCAGGCUUAACACAUGCAAGUCGAACGAGUGGCGGACGGGUGAGUAAUGCUUGGGAAUCUAGCUUAUGGAGGGGGCUAACUACGGGAAACUGUAGCUAAUACCGCGUACCAUAGGAUGAGCCCACGUGGGAUUAGGUAGUUGGUGAGGUAAAGGCUCACCAAGCCGACGAUCUCUAGCUGGUCUGAGAGGAUGAUAGGCAACACUGGGACGGAGACAUGGCCCAGACUCCUACGGGAGGCAGCAGUGGGGAGUAUUGCACAAUGGGCGCAAGCCUGAUGCAGCCAUGCCGCGUGUAUGAAGAAGGCCUUCGGGUUGUAAAGUACUUUCAGUCGGGAGGCGUUACCGACAGAAGAAGCACCGGCUAACUCCGUGCCAGCAGCCGCGGUAAUAC